rnacentral:rRNA from 1 species
UACAGAGGUCCCAAGCGUUGUUCGGAUUCAUUGGGCGUAAAGGGUGCGUAGGUGGCGCCGUAAGUCAGGUGUGAAAUUUCGGAGCUUAACUCCGAAACUGCAUUUGAUACUGCGGUGCUUGAGGACUGGAGAGGAGACUGGAAUUCCCGGUGUAGCGGUGAAAUGCGUAGAGAUCGGGAGGAACACCCGUGGCGAAGGCGGCCAUCUGGACCAGCACUGACGCUGAGGCACGAAAGCGUGGGGAGCAAACAGG